GCCGAAGUGGCGGAAUUGGUAGACGCGCUAGGUUCAGGGUCUAGUGUCCGUACGGAUGUGCGAGUUCGAGUCUCGCCUUCGGCACCA
rnacentral:tRNA from 1 species